rnacentral:lncRNA from 10 species
GUAGAAUAUAUGAAACAUUACAUGCAGGCUCCAGGAGCAGAUGAAGAGAUGAAGAGAAAAGCAGUCAAACAGCAGAACGGCAUGGCAGAGAAAGUGAGAAGAUGAGGAACACCUGAACGCUGAGAGGAGUUCAGCUGCGGGUGGGAUGUUGGAAAAUGAACCCAUGGAACAUGAAUGGUGCCUUGGCAGUUGAAAAUAUUGCAACCAGAGGCUUGCA